GGAUGAACGCUGGCGGCGUGCCUAAUCCAUGCAAGUCGAGCGAACAGAUGAGGAGCUUGCUCCUCUGACGUUAGCGGCGGCCGGGUGAGUAACACGUGGAUAACCUACCUAUAAGACUGGGAUAACUUCGGGAAACCGGAGCUAAUACCGGAAAAUAUAUUGACCCGCAUGGUUCAAUAUUGAAAGCCGGUUUUGCUGUCCCUUAUAGUUGGAUCCGCGCCGCAUUAGCUAGUUGGUAAGGUAACGGCUUACCAAGGCAACGAUGCGUAGCCGACCUGAGAGGGUGAUCGGCCACACUGGAACUGAGACACGGUCCAGACUCCUACGGGAGGCAGCAGUAGGGAAUCUUCCGCAAUGGGCGAAAGCCUGACGGAGCAACGCCGCGUGAGUGAUGAAGGUCUUCGGAUCGUAAAACUCUGUUAUUAGGGAAGAACAAAUGUGUAAGUAACUAUGCACGUCUUGACGGUACCUAAUCAGAAAGCCACGGCUAACUACGUG
rnacentral:rRNA from 1 species